rnacentral:lncRNA from 1 species
AACAAAAUACAUGACACUGUCGAGAGUAAACGGGAAUAGAGACAAAGAAAUUGAAAAUUCGAAAUUUGAGAAAGUCGACCUCUUCAAAUAUCUGGGAAUCGCAGUGAACAACAGGAAUGAUCUAAAGGAAAUUAAUUCACGAUUACAACAUCGAAGUGCAUGUUACUACUGUUACGAUGGUGGUCUCAAGCAAACCGUCAGUGUGAUCGUCGGACACAGCGGAUUAUCGGUUACUUGAUCUCCUCCACGUACAAUAAAUGAAUCAGGCUGUUUUAAUGACUAAAUAUUUUCAUUUUACAACAAUUAUACUUGCUACUACAAUGAGUAAUUAAAGUACUAAAUAUUUUAAUAUAACCUAGCCUCCUGAAUCAAGCAUCUUAUACUUAAAAGAUAUAUGAUUAAAACUUCCCUGUCGCUGCUAUAAAAGCUGAGUCUCCAGACGAGGCGCUGUUCUUGAUUAUGAAGGGAAGGACCAGGCUGGUUAGUUGCUGAGGAGUUCUCCUAUGAGAUAGAUUCUUCUUCUCGAACAGUAAUACUGACCAACGAGCGAAGUGGACUCAACACGCAAGUAGUGCGAUAUAACCAACAGGCGAUGAGAACUGGAAGUUCCGCCCUUUUAACAACUACUCUCCCCGCCUCUUGGUCUUCCACAGA